UCUUGAGGAGUUAAUCCCCACAUUUGAAGCACAGGAGCGAACCUUUCCUCGUUUUUAGGUCAAUUUGAAUAGAAUUCAGAGGGGUGGCAUGGGGGCGCACUGGGUAGUGCUGUCGCCUCACAGCAAGAUGGUCGCUGGUUUGAGCCUCGGAUGGGUUUCCCCUCGACAGUCCAAUAACAUGCGGUGUAGCUGAAUUGGAUUGGGACCAAUAUUGCUGAGUAUCUUCAUCCAUUGAAUUCAAGAAUCUAUUGAGUUUCCUCAUGUUCUCGUCCUUGGAGACCACCACUUCUUUCAAGCCUUUGCUCACGUGCUGUGCUAUUUAUUAUUGCAAAGUACAUUACUUGCUAAAGUGAACGUUUGCUAUAAAGCAUUCUACAUCUUUGGUGUGAACUACCCCAAGCAGUGUUCCCUGGUGUGGCAGACUGUGGUUUAUGGACAUCCUGGGGAGGAGACACUAGCAGUAAGGGUUCUGCUAGCAUUAAUUUUUGCUGACAAACAGUAAUCAUUAAUACUGUGACCUCACUGCUUCCUUGGAUUCUGUGUUCUUUAACUUGUACUUUGGAUUGUGGGGGAAAAGGAGCACCCGGAGAAAAC